AGAGUUUGAUCCUGGCUCAGAUUGAACGCUGGCGGCAUGGCUAAAACAUGCAAGUCGAACGCCUGGAGCAAUCCAGGAGUGGCGAAAGGGCGAGGAAUAGAUUCCUACAUACCCAGAGGUCGGGGAUACCUCGGAGAAAUCCGAAUCAAUACCCGAUGUGGUCGAGAGACCAAAGGCUUGCCGCCUUUGGGGUGGGGAAUCUCCUAUCAGCUAGUUGGUGAGGUAACGGCUCACCAAGGCGGAGACGGGUAGCGGGUGUGAGAGCACGGCCCGCCGCAUCGAGACUGAGACACUGCUCGGACUCCUACGGGAGGCUGCAGUAACGAAUCUUCCGCAAUGCGCGAAAGCGUGACGGGGCAAUGCCGCGUGUGGGAUGAAGCCCUUCGGGGUGUAAACCACUGUCAGGGUCCGCCAACAACAUGAGGAGACCCAAAGGAAGAGCCGGCUAACUCUGUGCCAGCAGCCGCGGUAAUACAGAGGGCUCGAGCGUUAAUCGGAAUCACUGGGCUUAAAGCGUGCGUAGGCGGACUUGAAGGCACCUUGUGAAAUCCCUCGGCUCAACCGAGGAACUGCUUGGUGAACCACAAGUCUUGAGGUCGGUAGAGGCGGUCGGAACGAUAGGUGGAGCGGUGAAAUGCGUAGAUAUCUAUCGGAACGCCAAUGGUGCAGACAGGCCGCUGGGCCGCACCUGACGCUGAGGCACGAAAGCGUGGGGAUCAAACGGGAUUAGAUACCCCGGUAGUCCACGCCGUAAACGAUGCGCACUUGGUCGAGGGAGUUGAACGCUUUCUCGGUCGUAGAAAAAUUGAUUAGUGCGCCGCCUGGGGAGUACGGUCGCAAGAUUAAAACUCAAAGGAAUUGACGGGGGCUCACACAAGCGGUGGAGCAUGUGGCUUAAUUCGAGGCUACGCGAAGAACCUUAUCCUAGGCUUGACAUGGUAGAAGUAUCUUGGCGGAAACGUUGGGAGGCUGGUAUCCAAUCCAGAGACUAUCACAGGUGCUGCAUGGCUGUCGUCAGCUCGUGUCGUGAGAUGUCGGGUUAAGUCCCAUAACGAGCGAAACCCCUGCCUCUAGUUGCCAGCGGGUCAUGCCGGGGACUCUGGAGGGACUGCCGGUGUUAAACCGGAGGAAGGCGGGGAUGACGUCAAGUCCUCAUGGCCUUUACGCCUAGGGCUGCACACGUGCUACAAUGGCGCGCACAAAGGGAAGCCAACCCGUGAGGGGGAGCCAAUCCCAGAAAACGCGCCCCAGUUCAGAUCGAAGGCUGCAACUCGCCUUCGUGAAGUUGGAAUCGCUAGUAAUCGCUGGUCAGCUAUACAGUGGUGAAUUCGUUCCCGGGCCUUGUACACACCGCCCGUCACACCAUGGAAGCUGGUUAUGCCCGAAAUCAUUACUCUAACCGUUUGGGGGAGGGUGCCUAAGGUAGAAUUAGUGACUGGGGUGAAGUCGUAACAAGGUAGCCGU
rnacentral:rRNA from 1 species